UGGGGGCACCCCUCUCUUCGGUGAGGUCAUCGCGAGCAUCCAGUCCAUCGACGGGGCAGGAAUCAGAUUGAUCGCCUCUUUGCAAGGCUAUAUUGUAACAGUGUCUGGCCAGAGCUUGAUCUCCCCGGACCUCUCCGGUCCCCUGGUCGGUGGGAAACUUCAACUUCAAAUGGUAGGUCGAUACGACGGCUCGGAGAGCAUUGAGGCCAGGUCGGCCGAGGAUUGCGUUGUAGGCGGACGGCGCCUUCACCAC
rnacentral:lncRNA from 1 species